CGUAGGGUCCGAGCGUUGUCCGGAGUUACUGGGCGUAAAGGGCGCGCAGGCGGCGGUGCUGGCCCGGCGUGAAAGCCCCCGGCUCAACCGGGGAGGGUCGUCGGGGACCGCACCGCUUGAGGGCGGUAGGGCUGGUGGAAUGCCUGGUGUAGUGGUGAAAUGCGUAGAGAUCAGGCGGAACACCCGUGGCGAAGGCGGCCAGCUGGGCCGUCCCUGACGCUGAGGCGCGAAGGCGUGGGAGCGAACGGGAUUAGACUACCCCGGUAGUCCACGCAGUAAACGAUGCCGACUAGGCGUGGGGGGAGUUGACCCCCUCCGUGCCGGAGCCAACGCGGGAAGUCGGCCGCCUGGGGAGUACGGCCGCAAGGCUA
rnacentral:rRNA from 1 species